rnacentral:rRNA from 1 species
GACGAACGCUGGCGGCGUGCUUAAUACAUGCAAGUCGAACGGAAAGGCCCUGCUCUUGUUGCUCUCUCGAGUGGCGAACGGGUGUGUAACACGCGAGUAUCCUCCCCUUGACUUUGUGAUAACUUCUGGAAACUGGGGAUAUUAUCGGAUAGGAUCUCCUGCUGCAUGGUGGGGGUUGGAAAGUUUCGGCGGUUGGGGAUGGACUCGCUGGUUAUCAGCUUGUUGGGGGGGUAGUUGCUUACCAAGGCUUUGAAGGGUAGCCGGCCUGAGAGGUUGACCGGCGACAAUGGGACUGAGAUACGGCCCAGACGCCUACGGGAGGCAGCAGUCGGGAAUAUUGCACAAUGGGCGCAAGCCUGAUGCAGCAACGCCGCGUGCGGGAUGACGGCCUUCGGGUGGUAAACCGCUGUCGACUGUAACGAAGCGUGAGUGACGGUAAUGAGUAAAGAAGCACCGGCUAACUACGUG